AUAUGUUUGACUAUGUAUUUGUCUUUAGUUGUUGUUUUCCAUCAAUUUUGUUAUGUUUAUUAGGUGUGUGUUUAGGUUAAAUUCAUUUUUCGUUGGUCUAAAUUUGAUGAAAUAUGAAAAUAAUAUUGUUAAUAUAUUUUUUUUCCUUUUUUCCUAUAAUUUUUUUUAUUCUUAAAAUUUAUGUUAAUUUGAAUUAAUGAUUAUUUGUUGAUUAAAUUUGUAUCAAAAUCAAAUUAUAUUGUAUAUUUUUACUAAAUGUUAUUCUAUAAUGUGAUAUUAUGUAUUGAUAUGGUUAUAUAUUAAUCAUUUAUUUUCUUGUUAAUAUUACUAAUAUUGAUUUUUAUGAAUAAUAAUUAUGUGAAAUCUACACUUUUAUUUUUGUUGACGUGAUUUGAUGAAGCAUGUUAUAAAUGGAUAUCCUUUUGUGUUCUUACGAACUUUUUAUUCUUGAUGUUUAUGUUUUUAGAUUAUAUUAUGUAUUGUUCACUAA
rnacentral:lncRNA from 1 species